rnacentral:rRNA from 1 species
AUACGGAGGGUGCGAGCGUUAAUCGGAAUUACAGGGCGUAAAGCGCGCGUAGGCGGUUUGGUCAGUCAGAUGUGAAAGCCCUGGGCUCAACCUGGGAACUGCAUUUGAUACUGCCAGGCUAGAGUAUGGUAGAGGGAAGUGUAAUUCCGGGUGUAGCGGUGAAAUGCGUAGAUAUCCGGAGGAACACCAGUGGCGAAGGCGACUUCCUGGACCAAUACUGACGCUGAGGUGCGAAAGCGUGGGUAGCAAACAGGAUUAGAAACCCUAGUAGUCC